rnacentral:misc_RNA from 1 species
CUGCAGGCAGCCGCCGCCCGGUUUUCCGCCGCCGUCGCCCGGUUUGCCGCCGCCGUCGCCCGGCCGGGGCUCGCCAGAGCCGCCGCCGCCGCCCGGCCGGGGCUCGCCAGAGGCGCCGUCGCCCGGGGCGCGCGGACGUCCCCGCCCCCCCCGGUUUGCCCGCCGCCGCCGCCCGCCCGGGGCUCGCCAGAGCCGCCGCCCGGCCGGGACUCGCCAGCGCCGGUGCUGCCCCUCGAGCCGCCCGCCGCCGCCCGGACGGGACUCGACGCCUGCCGCUGCCCCUCGAGCCGCCCGCCGCCGCCGCCCGGGCCCGUCGCCCCCGCGUGGACGUCCCCGCGCGACGCCUGCCGCUGCCCCUCGAGCCGCCCGUGCCCCGGUUUGCCCGCCGCCGCCGCCCGGGCCCGUCGUCCCCGCGCGACGCCUGCCGCUGCGCCACCCGUCUCAGCAAAUAGCACUAGGGCAACGUCCAGAUUUUUCAGCGAUGACUAUGCCACCUCCUCCACCUAUCCCGCAGUCCCUCCAGGAAACUUGCUAACUCCGGGAAAUGAGGACUCUGAAGAUGCGGUCGCUUCUUUUGUGGACGGUCUUCUAAACAGUGGAGGAGCUAGCGGAUCAAAUCAACCACAUCCAUUUGAUCAACCUCCUCCAUUUGAGUAG